rnacentral:rRNA from 1 species
UACGUAGGGUGCGAGCGUUAAUCGGAAUUACUGGGCGUAAAGCGUGCGCAGGCUGUUUUGUAAGUCAGAUGUGAAAUCCCUGAGCUCAACUUAGGAACUGCGUUUGAAACUACAAGACUAGAAUAUGUCAGAGGGGGUAGAAUUCCACGUGUAGCAGUGAAAUGCGUAGAGAUGUGGAGGAAUACCAAUGGCGAAGGCAGCCCCCUGGGAUAAUAUUGACGCUCAUGCACGAAAGCGUGGGGAGCAACAGG